UCGGCGGCUGCUUGGAGACGUCGGUAGCCCGCUAUAGCGCCCGCCGCCCUGCCCGAGCGAGCCUGUCUGUGCGAGAACGUGAAGGAGACGUCUGCUUCUUUUCCGUUUUUGACCGUAGGUGUAAGUAACACAGCUCAUAGACGUGUGUGCUGAAUAAAGACUGUUCCUACUUCAACCAAGCCUCCAAGGACCUUUUUGCUGGUUACCUAGCUCGUAGACCUGCGUAUGAAGGGUUUGUGAACGGGCUCGAGAGGUCUAUGAGCUCCAGACUCUAGCCCUAGCUCCACAAUUGGUGUUGUUGGCAGGAUUACGCUACAAUUGGCAUAGUCGGUGCAGGAUUCUGAGCAGGUACAGGAGCCAAGAAGACCUUGAAAAAGGAGGAAAUGUGGCUACUAUUGAACAUGUCAUGCCCUGUGACCACUUUCCUGUUGACUGGGAUCUGGUUGCUGCUCACUGUAAUGUAAGGCAGCAUAGACCAUGCGCUGAAGCGGAAAGCCCCUUGAGAGGGGGAGGAAAUGUGGCUGUCUUUGAGCGUGUGUUGCCCAGUGGCCACUUUUCUGCUGACCGGAGCCUGGCUUUUGCUCACUCUGCUGCAAACUGAUCAAGAUUUGAAGCAGAAAGCCAAGUUGUUGGCGGAUGACAUGCAGCUACUGGAAGAUUCAAAGUGGAAAGCAGAGUUGUUGGAAGCUCAAAUAGAUGUCCUGGAGGACGACAUGCAGUGACUGGCCACUUCUGCUUCUCAUGCCAGGGAGCACAACUAAUGCAGUGAUUUAACCCAGGCAGCCCCAAUGCUCCUAAGUCAUUUGGAACAAUGUGGGUGGUCCAUGAACACAGCCAGGGUGCAAGGACCUGGGCUGUCAGUCAGAUUCCUGGGAGUGGUCUGGUCAGUGUUGUGGCUGCAGGCACUGCACCAGAGUCGACAGGGUACACACAUAUGUUGGUGUGAUCAUCUACUGAAUAUGCACUGAACUUCAUUCACAUCAGUAUGACUACAAGAUUCCCAUGGAAAAUCACACCAAUGAUGACUACCCGGACAUGUGCGGGUAAAGGACAGAACUACAGGACAAGCCUUAAGUACACACCUUAAGGCAUAUUGAACAGACAAUAGGUUGUAUAAAUAAAAGGGUCAUUUAUCCUUGCUAAAGGAACAUCACAGAAGUUUUUUAAUGCAUAGGUUGUAUGGCAAGGGACCCUGUAGGGAUGGAUUGUAGGGAAAAUAGAAUUUAGUCAGGCUCCCUCGGCUCAGGUCUGGCUGUGGGGGGGGGGGUCGAGGAGCACAUUUCUUGUAAAUAGGUUGUGUGUGGGUGGAGUUAGUGCGCAUGUGCACCAAUCUAUCUUUUUAGUUUUGUAGCUAUUGUGUGUUCUGCAGUUUGUGAAGUAGGCUGGGGGCAGAGAGCUCAUGUCUCAAAAUAGAGCAUGUUUACUCUGCUUGGCAGCUGCUCAGUUUUCAGUUUUACUUUGGACCUUGCUGGUAGCAGUUGAGUUUCUGAGUUUCUCUUGGUACUGCCUAGCUCUUAGAUUUGU